UACGUAGGUGGCGAGCGUUAUCCGGAUUUAUUGGGCGUAAAGCGUGCGCAGGCGGCUUAUUAAGUCUAAGAUUAAAGCCCGGAGCUUAACUCCGGUUCGUCUUAGAAACUGGUAGGCUUGAGUAUGGUAGAGGCAAACGGAAUUCCUAGUGUAGCGGUGGAAUGCGUAGAUAUUAGGAGGAACACCAGUGGCGAAGGCGGUUUGCUGGGCCAUCACUGACGCUCAUGCACGAAAGCGUGGGGAGCAAA
rnacentral:rRNA from 1 species